rnacentral:rRNA from 1 species
UCCGGUUGAUCCUGGCGGAGGCCACUGCUAUCGGAGUUCGAUUAAGCCAUGCGAGUCGAGAGGUGUAAGACCUCGGCAUACUGCUCAGUAACACGUGGACAACCUACCCUGAGGAGGGGGAUAACCCCGGGAAACUGGGGAUAAUACCCCAUAGGCUAUGGAUGCUGGAAUGCUCUGUAGUUGAAAGGUCCGCCGCCUCAGGAUGGGUCUGCGGCCGAUUAGGUUGUUGUUGGGGUAACGGCCCAACAAGCCUGUAAUCGGUACGGGUUGUGGGAGCAAGAGCCCGGAGAUGGAUUCUGAGACACGAAUCCAGGCCCUACGGGGCGCAGCAGGCGCGAAAACUUUACAAUGCGAGCAAUCGUGAUAAGGGAACUCCGAGUGCCCGUAAAAUCGGGCUGUCCGCCAGUUUAAAUAACUGGUGAAGAAAGGGCCGGGCAAGACCGGUGCCAGCCGCCGCGGUAAUACCGGCGGCUCGAGUGGUGGCCACUAUUACUGGGCUUAAAGCGUUCGUAGCUGGUCUGUUAAGUCUCUGGGGAAAUCUUCCGGCUUAACCGGAAGGCGUCUCAGGGAUACUGGCAGACUAGGGACCGGAAGAGGUGAGAGGUACUCCAGGGGUAGGAGUGAAAUCCUGUAAUCCUUGGGGGACCACCUGUGGCGAAGGCGUCUCACCAGAACGGCUCCGACAGUGAGGAACGAAAGCUGGGGGAGCAAACCGGAUUAGAUACCCGGGUAGUCCCAGCUGUAAACGAUGCGCGUUAGGUGUAUCGGUGACCACGAGUCACCGAGGUGCCGAAGAGAAAUCGUGAAACGUGCCGCCUGGGAAGUACGGUCGCAAGGCUGAAACUUAAAGGAAUUGGCGGGGGAGCACCACAACGGGUGGAGCCUGCGGUUUAAUCGGACUCAACGCCGGGAAACUCACCGGACAAGACAGCUGAAUGAUAGUCGGGCUGAAGACUCUACUUGACUAGCUGAGAGGAGGUGCAUGGCCGUCGUCAGUUCGUACUGUGAAGCAUCCUGUUAAGUCAGGCAACGAGCGAGACCCA